GAUGAACGCUGGCGGCGUGCCUAAUACAUGCAAGUCGAGCGAACAGACGAGAGUGCUUGCACUCUCUGACGUUAGCGGCGGACGGGUGAGUAACACAUGGGUAACCUACCCAUAAGACUGGGAUAACUUCGGGAAACCGGAGCUAAUACCGGAUAAUAUUUAGCUUCGCAUGAAGCAAUAGUGAAAGACGGUUCUGCUGUCACUUAUAGAUGGACCCGCGGUGUAUUAGCUAGUUGGUGAGGUAACGGCUCACCAAGGCAACGAUACAUAGCCGACCUGAGAGGGUGAUCGGCCACACUGGGACUGAGACACGGCCCAGACUCCUACGGGAGGCAGCAGUAGGGAAUCUUCCGCAAUGGACGAAAGUCUGACGGAGCAAUGCCGCGUGAGUGAAGAAGGUUUUCGGAUCGUAAAACUCUGUUGUAAGGGAAGAACAAGUACGUUAGUAACUGAACGUACCUUGACGGUACCUUACCAGAAAGCCACGGCUAACUACGUG
rnacentral:rRNA from 1 species